GCGACAAGGAGAGCGAGGCGCCCGUGAGGACCGGAGGGGUAUGGAGAGAAACAGAGGGGAAGAAGGAAGAAGAGGAGGAGGAAGAGAAAUCAAGAGUUAGUAAAGGGCUGGUGACUCCAGCUUCCGAUCUUUCUCUUCUUUGAAAUCAGUGUCCCCAGGGCCGCUGGCCCCCUGGAUGCCAGGGUUUUAGGGAACAGGAUGGCAGUUCUAGAAUAUGAUAGAUUCCACACAGAAUAGUAACCUACCUUCAUCACGCUUCCCUCACACGUAAAGUAUGCUGAAGAUCAAACCCCACCGACCUUCAUGCUCUUCGGUGAUAGUCAGGUAACCGUCACUGUUCUCAGCGUCUUUGCAAGGGGAUGGGUGGGAGCCCGUGGGGCCACUCCCCACUGACUGGUCCUCCUGGGGCGCUUGGGCCUGAUCUCAGUGGUUCCCGAGGCUCUGGCACCUUCCCAUGGUCAGGAACCCCUCCACUCCUGGCGCUGAAUUAGGUACUAGGUCCGCUGUCUUCACCUGACAUGCUGGAAAUAGGAGGCCUGGAAACCUUGUCAGCCUGUAGACUUUGGGUGGACUACCUUCAGGACCACAGCAGGGAGCUUGCCUGACAUCGUGUUGUCCACUCUGGUGAGCUUUCCUCCCCUGGCGGCUGAGCUGCCGAGAGGUCCUUCUGCCCCUGGGGCAGCAACAAAGCAUCACAGCCUUGGCCGCUGGCCCUACAUGGCCCCAGACACGUGGCCAGCAAGAGCAUCUGACGCGGACGAGCAGGCCCGAGGCGGACGGGCAGGCCCGACGGGGACGAGCAGGCCCGACGGGGACGGGCAGGCCCGACGGGGACGAGCAGGCCCGAGGC
rnacentral:lncRNA from 1 species